UACGUAGGGUGCAAGCGUUAAUCAGAAUUACUGGGCGUAAAGCGUGCGCAGGCGGCUAUGCAAGACAGAUGUGAAAUCCCCGGGCUCAACCUGGGAACUGCAUUUGUGACUGCAUGGCUAGAGUACGGUAGAGGGGGAUGGAAUUCCGCGUGUAGCAGUGAAAUGCGUAGAUAUGCGGAGGAACACCGAUGGCGAAGGCAAUCCCCUGGACCUGUACUGACGCUCAUGCACGAAAGCGUGGGGAGCAAACAGG
rnacentral:rRNA from 1 species